rnacentral:lncRNA from 1 species
ACUGCCUUCCUGGGCCAUCCAAAGCCAAGUUUAAACCACCAUUGGUACACAGGAAGUGAUGCAAAGAAUAGCCUUUAUAUUUUGUGGUCUCCUCCUGUGAGGAGGUCUUUGCCUUGGAAUUUGAUGGUGGAGGAGCCCUGGCUUGAGAUCUCAGACUGCUUCUCUUGGACUGUCACAUGGAUUAGCUCUUACCACUUUUACCUAGCAAAAAUCCUCAAGGAUGAACCCAGAAUUGACUGUAUGUCUUUUAAAGAGGACCAUCCUUAGCUGGCAUGAAGAAAAUCAUUACCAGAAAUCUCAGGAACCAAUGCCAUCAAAGCCCCAUGAAGCCCAGUCACGGAGACUUUAAUAGGUUUCAAUCAGCAUUUGUGGAGGGAAUAUGUACUCUGCUCCUUUGAGGUAUGAAAAAUAUUAAAAUACAUAAAUGUUCAAUGGUUUAAUUUUCCUCAAAUGCUAUUACUUGGAAUAUAAACAUGAUAAGGGUAAGGCUUGAAUUUUAGAUGAUAAUACUUCCAUAUUAGAACCAAUUUGAAAGGAUGCUCUGGAUAGCAUUUAUGUGAAGUGUCUUAUACACCAAAUGGAGAUCAGGGCCAAAAAAUGAAUCUAUUUACCAACAAAUUUAGAGCAAGACAUGCUCCAGUAAAAACAAUUUGUACAUCAUUUAUCCUACAUUGAAAAACAUGUGGCUGGGGAUAAAAACAAAAAUUUUAAACCCCAAUCACCACAAAACAAGGAAACACUGGCUCCCAUUAAAAUAAGAUACAACAAGGUAAUAGCCAUUGUUUAACCACAAGGUCAAAAUCUCAUUUAAAACCUAUUAUAACUUUUAUUUGGAUUUCUACUGUUACUGUCCUAGUUUUCAAUGUAAUACUCUUGUUUCAUCAUAGGUACAUUUAAGAAAAAAAUAAUUUAAGGUUAACAGAAAUACAUUUCUCUCUGAUUAGCACUAUUUCUUUUGAAGGGGAUGGAUGAUGAUUCUCUGUAAAAAAUCUAGCAAGGUAGAACAAAACAAUUUAAUAUUAAUAUGUAUUCACAUAAGCACCUACCUCUUUUCUCCCAAGCUUUUACUUCUACUGAAAGGGUAAACUGCUUAAAUCUGAGGCUCAUAUAAGUAUAAAAUUUGUAUUCCUAAGAGACCUGGAAGAGUUCAUUCACAAGGCAAUCCCAAGAGUACAAAGAAUGUAUAUUACCCAGAUUAUAAGUUGCAUUGGAUUGGUUCCCAAAGGAGGGAAUCUGAAGAAUAGCAGAAGUAAAAGACAUCAAGGAUUGUAUGACAGGGAGAGAAGAUGGCUAGUCACAUAACAAGAGAGAGGAAUGAAACAUUAAUAGUGAGAAUGUUCUACUGGUAUUCUCUCAAUGUCAAGUGGAAGCAAGCAAGGCCUCCAUUUUGCUGGAUAGAUGCAUUGUAAUAAAUAAACUAUUGACAAAACA